rnacentral:rRNA from 1 species
AUUGAACGCUGGCGGCAGGCCUAACACAUGCAAGUCGAACGAGUGGCGUACGGGGGAGUAAUGUCUGGGAAACUGCCUGAUGGAGGGGGAUAACUACUGGAAACGGUAGCUAAUACCGCAUACCAGCGGAAGUGCCAAGAUGGGAUUAGCUAGUAGGGGGGGUAAAGGCUCACCUGGGCGACGAUCCCUAGCUGGGUUGAGAGGAUGACCAGCCACACUGGAACUGAUACACGGUCCAGACUCCUACGGGAGGCAGCAGUGGUGAAUCUUGCACAAUUGGCGAAAGCCGGAUGCAGCCAUGCCGCGUGUAUGAAGAAGGCCUUCGGGUUGUAAAGUACUUUCAGCGAGGAGGCGUUACCCGCAGAAGAAGCACCGGCUAACUCCGUGCCAGCAGCCGCGGUAAUAC